UGCCAGCCGCCGCGGUAAUACGUAGGUACCGAACGUUGUCCGGAAUCACUGGGCGUAAAGGGUCCGUAGGCGGUUUGAUAAGUCUCAUAUGAAAACUUCAAGCUUAACUUGGAGAGGUUGUGAGAUACUGUCAAACUAGAGACUGUUAGAGGUAAGUGGAAUUCCAGGUGUAGUGGUGAAAUGCGUAGAUAUCUGGAGGAACACCAGUGGCGAAAGCGACUUACUGGGACAGUUCUGACGCUAAGGGACGAAAGCGUGGGGAGCGAACCGGAUUAGAUA
rnacentral:rRNA from 1 species